UGCCAGCAGCCGCGGUAAUACGGAGGAUCCAAGCGUUGUCCGGAUUUAUUGGGUUUAAAGGGUGCGUAGGCGGAAUAAUAAGUCAGUGGUGAAAGCCUGUAGCUCAACUACAGAACUGCCAUUGAAACUGUUAUUCUUGAGUUAGGUCGAGGUGGAUGGAAUGUAUCAUGUAGCGGUGAAAUGCUUAGAUAUGAUACAGAACACCGAUUGCGAAGGCAGUUCACUAGACCUACACUGACGCUGAGACGCGAAAGCGUGGGGAGCAAACAGGAUUAGAUA
rnacentral:rRNA from 1 species